CACUUUCAGGCUCCAUUUUGAAACUAUUCACAUGCAAUGAAUAUACCAACACCACCUACCAAAUAAUAGAGCUGCUGGCUGUGCUCUGUCAACUAAACCUAUGCCUGAUCAAAACACCCAACUUCUAUAAUAUAUACAUUUACAGGAACCACUUAUCCCGGUCAGGGUCACAGCUGAUCUGGGGCCUAACUUGGCAACACUGGGCGUGAGGCGGGAAUACACUCUGGAUGACAGGAGGUGGGACACCGAGAGAACGUGCACAGAGAGCUCAAGAUCAAACUGAGGACCCUGAAGCUACUGGCGGAUUUUGGAGGACAGCUGAGAGACUGAUGUCAGCAGCAAGCUGUCUAGCACGGCCUACGAGAUCAGACGACAGGACUGUAAGCAUCUCAAACAUAAAAACGCAACUACACUCCAGCGUGUAGAUUAGUUUGAGGAAGUACGUGUAUGUCCGCACGCAAGCUACACAUUAAAAGAUUACUUUAAAUCAUAUUUAAAAUGACUAUCAUUUACACACUGUGUGGAUGGGUCUAGCAUUUGUAAUGUGAAAAUAUGGUACACAGAGUCUGAGCUAAUAAAUAAAUGAGUAAAUGGUUAGUAAAUAAUCAAAAAUAUUUGUAUAUUGUAUCCACCAUUUAUUUUCUCUCUCUCUUUUUUUUUUUAAAAAAAAUCAGUCCAUAUAUCCAAAACACAUGGCAUUUCCUGUAGCUCUUAGCUCUGUCCUUUAG